AGAGUUUGAUCCUGGCUCAGGAUGAACGCUGGCGGCGUGCCUAAUACAUGCAAGUCGAGCGAAUGGAUUAAGAGCUUGCCCUUAUGAAGUUAGCGGCGGACGGGUGAGUAACACGUGGGUAACCUGCCCAUAAGACUGGGAUAACUCCGGGAAACCGGGGCUAAUACCGGAUAACAUUUUGAACCGCAUGGUUCGAAAUUGAAAGGCGGCUUCGGCUGUCACUUAUGGAUGGACCCGCGUCGCAUUAGCUAGUUGGUGAGGUAACGGCUCACCAAGGCAACGAUGCGUAGCCGACCUGAGAGGGUGAUCGGCCACACUGGGACUGAGACACGGCCCAGACUCCUACGGGAGGCAGCAGUAGGGAAUCUUCCGCAAUGGACGAAAGUCUGACGGAGCAACGCCGCGUGAGUGAUGAAGGCUUUCGGGUCGUAAAACUCUGUUGUUAGGGAAGAACAAGUGCUAGUUGAAUAAGCUGGCACCUUGACGGUACCUAACCAGAAAGCCACGGCUAACUACGUGCCAGCAGCCGCGGUAAUACGUGGGUGGCAAGCGUUAUCCGGAAUUAUGGGGCGUAAAGCGCGCGCAGGUGGUUUCUUAAGUCUGAUGUGAAAGCCCACGGC
rnacentral:rRNA from 1 species